rnacentral:rRNA from 1 species
CUUUGGCCGUCCGAGUUGUAAUCUAGAGAAGCGUCUUCCGCGCUGGACCGUGUACAAGUCUCCUGGAAGGGAGCGUCAUAGAGGGUGAGAAUCCCGUCUUUGACACGGACUACCAGGGCUAUGUGAUGCGCUCUCGACGAGUCGAGUUGUUUGGGAAUGCAGCUCAAAAUGGGUGGUAAAUUCCAUCUAAAGCUAAAUACAGGCGAGAGACCGAUAGCGAACAAGUACCGUGAGGGAAAGAUGAAAAGAACUUUGGAAAGAGAGUUAAACAGUACGUGAAAUUGCUGAAAGGGAAACGCUUGAUGUCAGUCGCGUCUGCCAGGGAUCAACCUUGCUUCUCGCUCGGUGUACUUCCUGGUCGACGGGUCAGCAUCAGUUUCGAUCGCCGUACAAGGGUGAAGGGAAUGUGGCACUCUUCGGGGUGUGUUAUAGCCUUUCGUCGAAUGCGGCGGUCGGGACUGAGGAACUCAGCACGACUUCGGUCUGUGCUUAGGAUGCUGGCAUAAUGGCCUUAAGCGACCCGUCUUGAAACACGGACCAAGGAGUCUAACAUGCCUGCGAGUGUUUGGGUGGCAAACCCGAGCGCGCAAUGAAAGUGAAAGUUGAGACCUCUGUCGUGGAGGGCAUCGACGCCC